rnacentral:pre_miRNA from 1 species
UGAUGGUGAUGGUGAUGAUGGUGAUGAUGGUGAUGAUGGUGAUGAUGGUAGUUAUUAUUAUCACCAUCAUCAUCAUCAUCAUCAUCAUCACCAUCA